GAUGAACGCUGGCGGCGUGCCUAAUACAUGCAAGUCGAGCGAACAGACGAGGAGCUUGCUCCUCUGACGUUAGCGGCGGACGGGUGAGUAACACGUGGAUAACCUCCCUAUAAGACGGGGAUAACUUCGGGACACCGGAGCUAAUACCGGAUAAUAUAUUGAACCGCAUGGUUCAAUAGUGAACGACGGUUUUGCUGUCACUUAUAGAUGGAUCCGCGCCUCAUUAGCUAGUUGGUAAGGUAACGGCUUACCAAGGCAACGAUGAGUAGCCGACCUGAGAGGGUGAUCAGCCACACUGGGACUGAGACACGGUCCAGACUCCUACGGGAGGCAGCAGUAGGGAAUCUUCCGCAAAGGGCGAAAGCCUGACGGAGCAACGCCGCGUGAGUGAUGAAGGUCUUCGGAUCGUAAAGCUCUGUUAUUAGGGAAGAACAAAUGUGUAAGUAACUAUGCACGUCUUGACGGUACCUAAUCAGAAAGCCACGGCUAACUACGUG
rnacentral:rRNA from 1 species